rnacentral:tRNA from 1 species
GGGAGACCUAAUUCAGGUAUGGGACGAAAAAAAAGUAGUCGCUACCAAGAAUCAAUCCCAAAAGGUCGGAGCGAGGUAUGAGGCUUUCAAACUAGGUUCUGGGUUCAAACAAGACCUGAAUCAGGAACAAGGGCUAUUAGCUCAGGUGGUUAGAGCGCACCCCUGAUAAGGGUGAGGUCCCUGGUUCGAGUCCAGGAUGGCCCACCUGCACAGGUGGCAAAAACAAGAGAAGCUCCGAAUCAGCACCUUAUCUUAUCUAUAUAUAAGAGAGAAUGCUGGCUCUGAGUACAGAGUCCAGAGGAACCUUGAAAACUGCAUAGAGCUAGGUGAAAAAGCCAAAAAAGAAGACCGCAAGGUCAAGCUAAUAAGGGCUAACGGUG